UUUUUUUGCCCUUUUGACCGGAUCCAGAAUCUCAUCCGGCCCAAGCCACCCCUACUAAAAGUCUAAAACCCUAAUUCUCUUCCAUGCCUUCCCCCCUCUUUCGCGCUUCCGAGGCGGCGAUAACUCCCAUCUGUUCCGUUCGCGGAGUCCGAAUCAGGGCGGUGGCGGGUAGUUUUUAUUGGUCCAGUGGCGAUUUGCUGCGCAGUGAUCCACCUAAGCCUUCCAAGUAAUUCACCUUUCUUUGUUCGCCAAUUUUUCCUUUUCUAAGCUUUAAUCUGAAUCAUAAUAUAUUGGUCUUUCUAUCUCUGCAAGCUCCCUGGAAAAGUUUCACCUUCUGCUUGUUAAUAUCUUAAAUUUGAUUUUUACUUCCAAUAUUUGGAAAUCUUGAAUAUAUA
rnacentral:lncRNA from 1 species